CACCGCAGCCACAGCCAUGGACCAGACCAGGGAAUCCUGAGGAGAGAAGAGAAGGGAAAGGACUGGUUGGGGCGAGAAGAAUUGCAAACUAUUAAGAAUAACAUGAACAAAUGCUCCAGAUCACUAAUAAGAGAAAUGUGCAUCCAAAAUAGGCUGAGGCUUUACCUCACACCCAGAAAAUUGGUGAAGAUGACAAAAAAUGAUAAUGGUCGAUGUUGGAGGGGUUAUGAAAGGAAGGCACACUAAUAUAUUGUUGGUGAAACUGUGAAUUAGCCAAUCAUUUUAGAAAGCAAUUUGGAAUUAUUCAAGUAAAAGAUGCUACAAUGUCCAUGCCCUUUGAUCCAGAGAUUCCCAAGGAGCUUAGUGACAAAAAACAAAGCUUCCACGUACACCAUAAUCUUUAUGGCAACACUUUCUAGCAGCAAAGAACAGAAAAUAAAUGAGAUACCCAUCAACUAGACAAUGACUAUACAAGUUACGACACACAAAUAAUGGAUUAUAUUACCGUAUUGUAAGAAAUUACGAAUAUAGAGAAACUGGGGAAGAACUAUAUAAACUGAUAAAAAGUCAGCAGAACCAGGAAAACAAUAUGCUUAAUGACUACAGCAAUGUACAUGAGAGGUAUAACAAAACAAUAAAAACUGAAUGCUAUCAAAAUACAGUGACCAAUGUAUCUCACACCCAUUAGACUGGCAAGAUUGACAAAAAAA